CCCAGGGCAGGGACCAGCGGAGUGGCUUGCGGGGCUCCCGGCCCGCGAGCACGGGAGCCACAGAAUCCCAGAAUCGUUAGGUUUGGAAGGGUCCUCUGGAGAUCGCCCAGUCCAGCCCCCCUGCCGCGGCAGGGUCACCUAGAGCAGGUCACACGGGAACGCGUCCAGCUCAUGGCCAUUGCUCCUCGUUGCUGACCACCACUGAAGAGUCAGGCACCAGUCGGUAAGGACCCGUCUGUGAGGCGUUAAUGAGAUCCCGUCUCAGCCUUCUCCAGACCGAAACAGACCCAGCUCCCACAGCUCUUACUACUAAAAUGUUAGAUGACAAAAGGGAAAAAUCACAAGAGGAGGUGUCGGUUGUCAGCAUAUAAGAAGAGCUGCAUAAAGAAGAUCUGGGAAGGAAGACAUGGCAUUUAUUUUAGAUUUCAUAGCAAUAAGAGGGGCAGGGACAUGAAUGGCCACGGAGGUGCGCUAAAACACAGAGAAGAAGCUACUCAGUGUCUCUGAGGACACCAUCAAGACUUGGCAAGAUCUUUAGGAAAGACUGCUCCACACAGCCUGCACAUACUGAAGUGCUUGGGGAACUGCUUGGAAUCUUCCAGGAUUUGCUUUCUUUUGAAAAUCAUGCCCUGGGACUCAGCAAUCAACUAAAUUGGCUCUGCAUAGCCUUUUUGUUGUUGGAAAUCAGCCUUGAUGGGGCUUUUCAUGAUGAUUAAAGGUUUGGUCAUAGUUCAGACUCAAAUUCCUCAGGAAUACUUUAGAGUUCACCCAGUUUUAAAGACUGAGUAAUUAAAAAAAAUAAAGGCUUUGUAUGGUUGUUCACUAAGUAUGUUAAUUGCAUGACAAGUUUCAACUAAAAUUUUAUAAGAGAAAAACAUUUUAUGUUUUCCCACUUGCUGAAGCAAGAUUUUAUGGGGAAGUUACUUUGUCUUUAUCUCUGCAACAUUUAUAUUUAAAACUUGUAUUACCUUUUUUCCCCCCAGAGAGUCUUAACUAGACAUUAACCAUUUAAAACCUUACACUUUGCAUUUCAUUUUUCCAGACUAACCAAAGGGAGGCAUAUAUUUGAUGAAGAAAGGAGAUUAUUUCACCAAUUUAACAAGUGGCAAGAACUAUCAUGCAGAUGCCUUACUCACAUGGACAAAUGGAAGUCUCUCAGAUUCCAUUCCAUAGAGUAGAAACUACAUCUGCAAAAAAUGUUGCUAUCUUAGUGGUGUGGAGCUGCAAAGACUAGAUCUCGGAUGGUAAAUCCUUUCUGGGAAUUCUGCCACAAAAACUUUGAGCAAGAUCUUUAUUUUAUUUAAAAUGUUCAGAGCUAAGCAUCAAACAUUCCACAGACAAGGAACUUAGAGGAUAGUUGGGUUUCUGCAGAUCCAGCAAGACAAAUUCUUUCUCCUGCAAGUAAUUACAAUUCCAGUAAUUACUAACUGUCAAUCCAGAUGGAGAUGUGCCUGUAUACACAAGAAGCAAUAUCUGCUCUGGGUGCUUCUCUACAUGUUGUGGGUUUUUUUGUUGUUUGUUUUUGUUUAGGUUUUUUUUUAAUAAAAAAGAAGAGGCUUCUGUUUGGACGGUUAAAAUAUCAGAUGGAUGGCUUCAAAUAUCAGAAAAAAUACUGUUUAAAAUACCAGGCAACUGUAUUGUACAUUGUAGUACGAUAUUUCCAAUUGGAGUUAUUUCAAAGGAGAAAGGAUUUUUGAUACCUGAUGGAAUCAGGCCCCUGUCGAUUUAUGAAUCCA